rnacentral:rRNA from 1 species
CAGUAGCCGCAGGAAUACAGAGGGUGCGAGCGUUAAUCGGAUUUACUGGGCGUAAAGCGUGCGUAGGCGGCUUUUUAAGUCGGAUGUGAAAUCCCUGAGCUUAACUUAGGAAUUGCAUUCGAUACUGGGAAGCUAGAGUAUGGGAGAGGAUGGUAGAAUUCCAGGUGUAGCGGUGAAAUGCGUAGAGAUCUGGAGGAAUACCGAUGGCGAAGGCAGCCAUCUGGCCUAAUACUGACGCUGAGGUACGAAAGCAUGGGGAGCAAACAGGAUUAGAUACCCGAGUAGUCCCUGUCUCUUAUAC